UACGGAGGGUGCAAGCGUUAUCCGGAAUCAUUGGGUUUAAAGGGUCCGCAGGCGGAUUUAUAAGUCAGUGGUGAAAGCCUACAGCUCAACUGUAGAACUGCCAUUGAUACUGUAAGUCUUGAAUUUGGUCGAAGUGGGCGGAAUAUGACAUGUAGCGGUGAAAUGCUUAGAUAUGUCAUAGAACACCGAUAGCGAAGGCAGCUCACUAGUCCAGUAUUGACGCUCAUGGACGAAAGCGUGGGGAGCAAACAGG
rnacentral:rRNA from 2 species